GUUCCUAGUUGCAGUGACAAAGAAAGGGGGUGAAACUGAGUUCUCUUUUUUUUUUGAAUGAAGAGAGAUUCUUGGAGAUGAGGAAGGAGGGAGACAUGUUACCUAAGGGAUGCAGGGCUGCUGUAAGAAAGCCUGCAGAAUCCUACUCCAAGCUCUCUCUCUAACUCUUAAUUUGCUGAAAUUUCAAGUGUAUUGAAGGGAGUCUAACGGUGGGGUUGAGGGGGGGUUUUAUAGGCUGAUUUUGUACCUUAGGAGAAUUAAUUGAAAGCUGAUUCCCCCCUUGUCCUCAUGUUGAAACCUAUCUCACUUUUGUGAUUUAGUAGUUACUCUACACUGAAAGCAAUUUGGUCUUUAGUUAGAGAUUACAAGUACAAGUCCCCUCAAAACUGAUUUUGGUUGAUUGUGUGACUAGGAAAGCUGGUGCGCAGGGGCUGUUUUGGAGGAGCAAAAAUGGCAGCUUUGACUUGCCUCUUUUGGUUUUGUAGGUGGGAAAGGAAGGUGUGGCUGUUGUGUUGUUCUCGGGCUAGGCUCGCUCCCCUCGGCCCGAUGGACUGCUCAAAGACUGGCAAUAGUUCGGGCUUGGAGAAGAGGCCCGAAGUGCAUCAAAAUUUAUCUUUUCUUUUCUUUGUUUUCUUUAUUUGAAGCCUUGUUCCAUGUAUUAAUAUUUUUUUGAAGUUAGUAGUUCGUUUAUUGUAUAAGAAACGCUAUUCGAAUUUCUUUAUACUUGGGAAAAGACUUCUUGUCCUUCUUCUUUCA